GAUGAACGCUGGCGGCGUGCCUAAUACAUGCAAGUCGAGCGAACAGACGAGGAGCUUGCUCCUCUGACGUUAGCGGCGGACGGGUGAGUAACACGUGGAUAACCUACCUAUAAGACUGGGAUAACUUCGGGAAACCGGAGCUAAUACCGGAUAAUAUAUUGAACCGCAUGGUUCAAUAGUGAAAGACGGUUUUGCUGUCACUUAUAGAUGGAUCCGCGCCGCAUUAGCUAGUUGGGAAGGUAACGGCUUACCAAGGGAACGAUGCGUAGCCGACCUGAGAGGGUGAUCGGCCACACUGGAACUGAGACACGGUCCAGACUCCUACGGGAGGCAGCAGUAGGGAAUCUUCCGCAAAGGGCGAAAGCUUGACGGAGCAACGCCGCGUGAGUGAUGAAGGUCUUCGGAUCGUAAAACUCUGUUAUUAGGGAAGAACAAAUGUGUAAGUAACUAUGCACGUCUUGACGGUACCUAAUCAGAAAGCCACGGCUAACUACGUG
rnacentral:rRNA from 1 species